rnacentral:lncRNA from 1 species
GGUGAAGCCACACCUCCUUCCAGCCUGACUUGGAUGGGUGAGCCGAAGGGACAUCUCCAAGACUCUGCUGCUGCCAUCAUGAGCUCGAUAGACCUCUUUUACUGCUCAGGACUCCGUGGUGGCUGUGGUGGCAUGUGGUCAGCGGCCAGCUCUCCUCUUCUGCAUCAGGAUACUGGAGAUCGAGAGCAACCUGUACCACAAGGGCCAGAGCAAGGUUUUCUUUGGGCUACUGUGCUACCCCACCUGGAGGAGGAGCAGAACCUGAAGAUACCAAUGUCAUCAUCGACUUCCAGGCCUGAUGCCGGGGCUACCUGGCCGGGAAGUGAGUCCCGGGACGCCCACCAGCAGCUCGGGGCUCCCAGCUGUCCUGUGUGGAGGCACUGAGGAAGCAGGGACUGGCCGCCCUCACCCAGGCAGGUGUCCCCCGGGGAGGCCCACAUGGCUUUCCCGCCCCCCUGCUUCCUGGAUUUCUGCCUGAGGUUUAAAGUGAGCAGGUCGAGGGGUGACUGUGCUCCGAUUUUCCCUGCAGAAAAACCCCUGUCUCCCUCUCUUCCUCCCUGUGUCCCUUCUGUAGGUGUGACACCCAGAUCUGGCUGUCCCCAGAGGACCCCGAGCUCUGAGGAAGAGGCAUCCUUGAGUUCCAGCAGCUCCCAUGGGGUCAGAGGCAGACUUGUGCGGGUCAGGGGGCAGGGCAGCUGCCCAUUUGCCCCUUGACUCCUCUGUGUCUGGGGUCUGGGGUUUGUGUCCUGGCCUGAGCCCUGAGCUCUGGGAACAGGGUGUCAAAUGAAUGUUUGCAGGAUGUGAGCUGCUGACAUUCUCCCACCAAACACAAGUCCCUGAGUUCCUGGAACAAAGUGCCCACCUCUCCCUUCCUCUCAGCUCCCUUAUCUGCAAAACACGUCAGAUACAUAACAGUUGGCUUUAAAAACAAACUAUGGUUGGCUAUCCUCAUGGAAUAAUCUACUGUCCCUCCCUCAAAACCUGGGGGGAGGGGACCAUAAUGGCCCAGGGACGUUUCCAGGGGUGAAGCAGCCCUGAGGGAAGGGCAGGCGGGCCUCCAUGGUGCAUCCAGGUCCACUGCAGUCACUUCUGCUUGAGGCAAACCGAGAAGUUCACCAGCAGUCCAGCUGUAGGACUCUCAGACUGUGGGAACUUGACCUGCAUUUCUUCAUCUGUGAAACGGAGACAGCUCUCCUAGAGCUGAUGUGAGAUUCAACAGGGAAGGUGUGGACGGUGUGAGCACAGCCUCUGCCACAUGCUCAGCCCAGUCCACAGAGGCUCUCUGCUCAGGAACCAAACAGAGACUUGGCCAGCUCUCCGUUGCAGACUUCUCUGAGUCGCCAGGACACUGGUUUUCUGAUAAAAGUUCUCCAUUUGGAGAGAA